UCCUUCAUUCCACCGGAGUCUGUCUUAUGCCAACCAGAUUUCAGUGGAGUGAAGCUCA
rnacentral:pre_miRNA from 2 species